rnacentral:rRNA from 1 species
UGCCUGUUUAACAAAAACAUGUCUUUUAGUUUUUAUUUAAAGUCUAACCUGCUCAAUGAUUUAUUUAAAUAGCCGCAGUAUAUUGACUGUGCGAAGGUAGCAUAAUAAUUAGUCUUUUAAUUGAGGUCUGGUAUGAAUGGUUGGACAAGGAAAUUACUUUAUUUUUUUAAUUUUUGUUGAAUUUUAGAUUUUGGUUAAAAUUCCAAAAUUUUUAAAAGGGACGAUAAGACCCUAUAGAUCUUUAUAAUUCUUAUUUUUUUGUUUUUUUUGUUGUUUUAAGAUUAUUUAUUUAUGAUUUAUUUAGUUGGGGUGAUUAAUAAAAAUUUUAUCUUUAUUUAUUUUUUACAUUUUUUUUUGGUUAUUUGAUCUUAAAUUUUGGAUUAUAAGAAAAAGAUACCUUAGGGAUAACAGCAUAAUAAUUCUGGAGAGUUCUAAUCGAUAGACUUGUUUGUGACCUCGAUGUUGGAUUAAAAUUUAUUUGUGGGGUAGUUUUUACAAUUUUAGGUCUGUUC